rnacentral:rRNA from 1 species
AGAAUCAACGCUGGCGGCGUGCCUAACACAUGCAAGUCGAACGCGAAAGCCCCGCAAGGGGUCAGUAGAGUGGCAAACGGGUGAGUAACACGUGGGUGAUCUGCCUCAGAGUGGGGGAUAACGACCCGAAAGGGUCGCUAAUACCGCAUAACAUCCUGCCUUUGGAUAGGUGGAGAUCAAAGCCGGGGAUCGCAAGACCUGGCGCUUGGAGAGGAGCCCGCGGCCGAUUAGCUAGUUGGUGAGGUAACGGCUCACCAAGGCAACGAUCGGUA